GAGAAGGGGAGAACGGAGAGAGGGAUGGAGGGAGAACUCAUGGUCCGCGGCUGCAAGGGAGCGAAGGGGGAAACCCUAGAUUCUUGAAUCUUCUGAAAAUUACAGUUGCAGGAGCCCCACGAAUUUGUUCAAUUCUUAUCCAUUAACUGCCUCCUUUUUGCCCGCCAUAAUCAUGUCGGUUUUCCUCAAAACCCAAAAAAUCGAGCUCCAGGAGCACUCGACCACGCGCCCUGAACCCCGCGAUUCCUCGUCCAUUUCCACCGUCCUCCACGUUACCGAGCGCCGGAUUUAGUGUUCGGAGGAUUGAUGAUAUCCCCGUCCGGAUCCCGAUCGAUGUUACCUGAAUUUCGUCCUUCUUGUUGUUCCAAUUCGAUGAUGCUGCAUUUUGGCCAAUCAAGGGUUGCUAAUUGGCAGCAUUCGCAAUCAGAAAUCCUGAAUUCGGCGUGGGUUUUUUGAGGUUUUCACGGAGGGGAGCCGCGUGCGGAGAUUUUCCAGGUUUUGGGACUUGCGGCAGGUUUUCAUUUCUCUCCCCUUUCGCAUGGCGAUAAUUGGGGACGCCCUCCGGCAGGCCUUCAUGCCGAGACAUGAGUAUGAUAAUCUGAGGGAAGAGGAGAAAGCGUGGGGACGGAUCCAGCGGCCGUUGGUUACCGGCACGGUGGCGCUUCUUUGGUUUGCAGUGCUUCUUUCUGCUUCCUUAAGCCUGAACAUUGUGUUUCCAGCCGACGGUGGCGACCGGCCUCUGUGCGAUGACCGCCGGAUUCAGCCGUUACCCGUCGUGCCUGAGAAUAGAUCCGAGGGCGUCGAGUUGUUGCCCCACGCGUAUUACUUGACGGACGAAGAGGCGGCUCAAUAUUACUGGGUAGUGGUGUUCAUCCCUUCUGCUAUCCUCUUCCUGUGCUCGGUUAUUUACCUCUUAGCAGGAAUGGCUGUUGCAUAUGCUGCUCCUGCAAGACAUGCAUGCUUGAGGGUUGUUGAGAAUAACUACUGUGCUUCAAAGAGGGGUGGAGUCCGCUGCUUGUCCAUUCUCAACUUAAUAUUUGCUGUUGUUUUUGGACUCCUUGCCUUAUUCAUGGGCUCCAGCAUCCUCACAUUAGCAAGUAACUGUUCAACGGCCCUGUUUUGGUGCUACGAAGUGUUCAGCUGGGGGCUUGUGAUCCUGUAUGGAGGCACAGGGCUCCUUCUCCGAAGGAAAGCUGCAGCUAUUCUCGAUGAAGGUGAGGUUGCAGGCAGCCGGACCAUUGGUCUGGAAAUGCUUGAGGCUCCAAUGGAUGUGACACCAGAGAUGGCAAGGCGAGCAAACGAAGGUUUCAAGUCUUGGAUGGGUUCGUCGCUGCUUUCUUCUGAUGACGAAGAAGGUCCUGAGAACUGGUGACUAGCAGCAGAUGACAAAAGAAGAGAGACUUUCAGGUGCUUUUGGCAUUCUCUAGCUCAUCCAGACUGGUGGAUGUCGUGAGACAUAAGGUGUGAGGUGGCCACUAGCGAGGGUGCAGUCGGCAGCGUAGUUGGGAGCAUGUGAGCCUCACUGCCUUCGGAGUUCGUGUCUUGCUCUGCUCCACCACCAACUCCUCACGGGGCAUCUGCAGAGAAAUGGGGAACAUGGUGGCGCAUGGCUAACUCAGCACCUUUCGGCGGGUGGACUGAUGGGGAUUUAUAUUAAAAACAAAUUAAAGUCGUCCAAAUAAUUAUAAACUACUAAAAUCAGUGUCAAAAAAUCAGGAUUCAGAUCAGCCUGUUUCCAUUGAUACAGUAUCUCAUGUUGGCGCUAGAAAAAAGAGAAAAAAAAAAACAGCCCUCUUCCUUCCUCUCUCCCUCCCCCAUUGAGGCCCUGUAUCGGUAAAUGAGAUAUUCAAACGAUGAGUGGUUGACAGAAGUUACAGAACCAAGCCCGCUCUCUCCUGCACACACACACACACACACACAGAAAGAUGCAGUGGGCAGGUGGUCCCUUGCAGAUUCGAUGGAAAACAAGGGCGGAAAGAUGUUCAAUUCUAUACUACAACUUGAGUUUUACCAAUGGCGACAUUUGUAUAC